CUUGUACAAAUAAAAACUGUAACGCAUGCGCUGCUAUGGUAACGUCGUUUAACGUCAACAAACGUCAAUUGCUGCUAAUUGGCCAAAAAAGCAGCGGCAACUGCGGUAGCAAGUGGAGUAUCUCAAAAUGCAGAAUACGCUUAGUGUGCUUGCUGGGUAUGCCCAAAGUAGGGGAGCACGGCCUGCAUUGUUGUAAUUUGAUGCGCAACUUUAUGGAACAGUGAUUUGCUUAAACUGCAGCACUCGACGUCACACAGAAACCUAGCAACGCCCGCACCCAAAGCGAGUAUCUCAAAUCGACUCAGUCGUGAAAUUUCAUUGAUGAAUGCAAUAUCACAAACACAACGAGUUAUUGUGGCAAUAAAACUGAAGAGAAAUUAUUGUGUUUACACAAGAUUUACUGAUAAAUUAGCAGAUUAAAUGAAAAUCCAAUCUACAUUAUUUCCGUGUUUAAUGAAAUUGGAGUAGAGCAACCAAUAAACUAUUUAUUUAUAUUUCAGGAGGAAGUAAGACUCAUUAAGCCAUAUUUUGUCAUCUCAGCGAAAGUGAAGUGCGUGAGAAUAAGUUCAGAUAUUUGUUAUUUAUUCUAAUGAAUACUGUGUUCUGGCAUAUAAAAUUGUUUACAUCACUUGAAUGAAAUUGCCUGUUUCGGUGUUGUUCCUGUUAUUGUUGGCGGUGAUGUUGACGGUUUGCACUGACGUUUAAUGCCGACGCAAUGAAAAUGGUUAAACGAAAUUCAUAGAGAACAAAAGAACAAAAGUUACGUCGACAUGUCACAAAAGUUGAGUUGAGUUAUUGCCACGGCUUCGGCAUCGCUCGACGCUGACAGCUUUUAGUUGCAACAAAAUGCGGCAGCAAAUGAACACAUUUGCGAUUUGCGGCAAUAAAUUCACUUUCAACACCUUUUCUGUGUAAACGAUCAAGUGGCGAUAAAUUAUGAUCAAUGUCACAGUGGAACAUUUUGAAAUAUGCACCGACCCACUCGAUGGCAUGUGCACUGGACAGAUGCACAUUCCAACAAAAUUUACGAAAUAAAAAACUAAAUUUCAGUUGCAGAUAUUGAUUUUUGUUUUUUUAAAAACUAGACAACAAAAUGUGGAAUUUGGAGAACUUGCGAAAGACCACAGAUGCAAAGAAACAGAGAUAUACAACAAAUGAUAUAUUUCUAAAGAUUCCUACGAGCAUAAUAUU